AGACAAUGAAGAGUUUGAUCCUGGCUCAGGAUGAACGCUAGCGGCAGGCCUAACACAUGCAAGUCGAGGGGUAGGGGGUGCUUGCACCCCUGAGACCGGCGCACGGGUGCGGAACGCGUAUGGAACCUGCCCCUGUCAGGGGAAUAGCCCAGGGAAACUUGGAUUAAUGCCCCAUGGUAUCAUUACAUCGCAUGAUGUUAUGAUU
rnacentral:rRNA from 1 species